UCCCUCGCGGGUGCACCGCC
rnacentral:snRNA from 1 species